UCAAGUGCUUGCCUAGAGCUAAUUUAUCAAAGAAAACAAUUGCUGUGAGGUAUUAGUGGGUAGUGAAGCCUCACUCAACCUUCCCUUUUUAUGUUUUUAUUCAGUGUGAAAACCAAGUGACCAUCGCAGUUGCUGCUUGUCUUUAGGCCAUACAAAUCUUGUUUUCUGUGGCAUUAGCCACAUUGUCUACCAUUGGAGUUAAAUGUCUGGAAGCCAGGAAACAUGCCUCAGAGAAAUGGUUUACAGGAAGUAAGCUCGGAAAUGAAUGGUUUGUAUGGAGAUUCUAGUCUUGUAAGAAAGUUGAUUGAUUCUAUUCAUCCUCCAACACAUGCCGCAGCAAAAGAGUUUCCCCUUAAUUGAGCAAUAUGAUGUAAAUUACAUGGUGAAUGAUUUAAUAAGGGAAGAGAUGUGCAAACCAAGAGCAACAAAAAUCCUUUAAGAAUAGAAGCAUGAUUCUCCUGAAAAUAACAGAAAAUAUGAAAUCACGAGCACAAGCCGCAAUUCACAAAACCCCCAAACCCAUUCAUUCUAUUAAUUAUUUUGGAAAUGGAAAGGUCCAAAAUCUUUUCCCGUGGACAGAAGGAUGUGUUCUCCUUUUCACCCAUCAGUAUGUUGAUGCCAGUGGAAGUUGCAUCCUCAAAUGGAAGGUAACUCUGAUCAGAUAGAAAGUUCAAAAUGUUUGCAAAGCAACCUUUUUGGCUUGUAGUCAGUAAAAUACUAAUAUGUGACCCUCAUCAUUUUCAUUCUCCAUUAAAAACUUCAGGACAUUUGAACAAAGUUAUUUAAAACCAUUUAGAUUUCCUGUAAGCUCAUGGACAAAAUGCAUCAUGUUUACGACACAUUCAAUCUACCUUUGUCAUUAGUUGGUACUGCCUUACCAACAAAAGUCCUUUUUAAAAUACACUCAAUUUAUAUGCAAGACAUGUUGCUUACACUAGGUAACACCUUGUGACAGGGUCAGGCCAGAUGGCUACAGGA